UACGUAGGUGGCAAGCGUUAUCCGGAAUUAUUGGGCGUAAAGAGCUCGUAGGCGGUUUGUCACGCCUGGUGUGAAAGUCCAUCGCUUAACGGUGGAUCUGCGCCGGGUACGGGCAGGCUAGAGUGCAGUAGGGGAGAUUGGAAUUCCCGGUGUAACGGUGGAAUGUGUAGAUAUCGGGAAGAACACCAAUGGCGAAGGCAGAUCUCUGGGCUGUUACUGACGCUGAGGAGCGAAAGCAUGGGGAGCGAAC
rnacentral:rRNA from 1 species